rnacentral:misc_RNA from 1 species
CUUUAACCGAAAUGACUUUAAGGUCAGCAGAGGGCUUGCCAGAUUUAGAUGCACGAGACCUGAUGCAAUGCAGCCACAAACACGUAGCUCACUGAAACACAUUCUGGUAUCCUCAAAGAAUGUCAAUUGAUGAGGUGUCACUUCUGUACUUUGUAGACACAUCCAAAAGGAGGAUAACCUGCUUUCCACCAAGCAUAAGGAUGACAAAGAACAGUUGAUGUUCAACAUGGCUCUUUUACCUCUUAACUGCACUGUCUCACAUGUGCAGCUAUAAAACAUUAGCUGCCUUCACAGUCAGCACUAGUCAACUUUGUCCCCAGUUCUACCCUUGGCUUAGCUGAAAGACCCUUUGCUAACAUCUCUUCAUCAUAUUUACGUGCCAUAUCAACCAUACCCUUUUGCACCAAGGCAUCAAUUAAAGCAUUGUAAGCAGACGCAUCAGGACUCAAUCCCUGUUUUUCCAUCUUUUCCCAAAGAAUAAAGACUGGUCGAAG